AGGAACAUGCUGCUUGCCCAAAAUUCUCCACAAUCCUCCACCUCCGCUCUUCCAUUUAGGAUAUAAAAGAGGGUUUUCUCAGACCUUCUGCCAAUGCGCAGACAGAUGAAAGACGACACAGAGGUUCUCAUCAUUCUGCUGAGGAACUGAAAGCGGGUUUCCCACUCCAAUGUCUUAGUUUGGAAUCACGGCUUUUGUCCCCUCUCCGAGAAUGAAUAAUCACCAAGAAAAGAGAGGCCGUGGUAGGUGAAGGAAUGCCCAAUUCAGCCGAAAAGAAGUCAAUCCCUCCUGCCUCCUUCAGCUUGGAGUUUAGGGUGGCACUCAGCAAGGAGAAGGCCAUGUUUAGUCGAGCACCAGGAUCAUGAAGCCCAAGAGCGAGAAGCCAGACAAGUUCAAGUCCGGUAUCUCCCAGGCUCUUCUGGAGCUGGAGAUUAACUCACACCUCAAGGUUCAGUUCAGGGAGCUGAAUAUUACAGCAGCCAAGGAAACUGAAGAUGGUGGUGGUGGGAAAGCUAUCAUAAUUUUUGUUCCCUUUCCUCAACUGAAAUCUUUCCAGAAAAUCCAAGUCUGGCUAGUACGUGAAUUGGAGAAAAAGUUUGGGGGAAGCAUGUUGUCUUUAUUGCUCAGAGGAGAAUUCUGCCUAAGCCAACCCGAAAAAGCUGUACAAAAAAUAAGCAAAAGCAUCCCAGGAGCCGUACCCUGAAAGCCAUGCAUGACUCAAUCCCCGAGGACUUGGUCUUCCCAAGUGAAAUUGUGGGCAAGAGAAUCCACGUGAAACUGGAUGGCAGCCGUCUCAUAAAGGCUCAUUUGGACAAAGCGCAGCAAAACAAUGUGGAACGCAACGUUGAAACUUUUUCUGGUGUCUACAUGAAGCUCACAGGCAAGGAUAUAAAUGUUGAAUUCCCAGAGUUUCAACUCUAAACAAAAAUGACUAAAUAAAGUGUAUUCACAGU